rnacentral:lncRNA from 1 species
AGAGAGAAAAAGAUAUUUAAAAAGGAAAUAGAAGGAUCAAGCACUUUCCCUCAGAGAGAAAGGGAGCUCUUUUCUCCUGUCAGGAGAUUUUCCUGACCCAAUGUCCCCACUGCUGCCUGACCCUAGGAAUUUCUUCCCCUGGGGGAUUCUUCUCCUCUGUGAUAACAAGCUAGGAUGAAAAGGCUUCCACAGUAGUGCCCAGACAUUUUAAAGUGGAAGAGGUG